rnacentral:tRNA from 1 species
GUCUUUGUAGUUUAUUAUAGAAUAUGGUUUUGAAGCUACCAUGGUAUUAUUUCACAGACA